AUUGAACGCUGGCGGAAUGCUUUACACAUGCAAGUCGAGCGGCAGCGCGGGGCAACCUGGCGGCGAGCGACGAACGGGUGAGUAACAUAUCGGAACGUACCCAUUGGUGGGGGAUAACACAUCGAAAGAUGUGCUAAUACCGCAUACGACCUGAGGGUGAAAGGGGGGGAUCGCAAGACCUCUCGCCGUUGGAGCGGCCGAUAUCGGAUUAGCUAGUUGGUGGGGUAAAGGCUCACCAAGGCGACGAUCCGUAGCUGGUCUGAGAGGACGACCAGCCACACUGGGACUGAGACACGGCCCAGACUCCUACGGGAGGCAGCAGUGGGGAAUUUUGGACAAUGGGGGCAACCCUGAUCCAGCCAUUCCGCGUGAGUGAAGAAGGCCUUCGGGUUGUAAAGCUCUUUCAGCAGGAACGAAACGGUGUGGGUUAAUACCCUGCAUCAAUGACGGUACCUGAAGAAGAAGCACCGGCUAACUACGUGCCAGCCGCCGCCGUAA
rnacentral:rRNA from 1 species